AUUGAACGCUGGCGGCAUGCCUUACACAUGCAAGUCGAACGGCAGCACGGACUUCGGUCUGGUGGCGAGUGGCGAACGGGUGAGUAAUAUAUCGGAACAUACCUUGUAGUGGGGGAUAACUAUCCGAAAGGAUAGCUAAUACCGCAUACGCUCUAAGGAGGAAAGUGGGGGAUCGCAAGACCUCAUGCUAUAAGAGUGGCCGAUAUCUGAUUAGCUAGUUGGUGAGGUAAAGGCUCAGCAAGGCGACGAUCAGUAGCUGGUCUGAGAGGACGACCAGCCACACGGGAACUGAGACACGGUCCAGACUCCUACGGGAGGCAGCAGUGGGGAAUUUUGGACAAUGGGGGCAACCCUGAUCCAGCAAUGCCGCGUGAGUGAAGAAGGCCUUCGGGUUGUAAAGCUCUUUUGUCAGGGAAGAAACGGUUGUGGCUAAUAUCCAUGGCUAAUGACGGUACCUGAAGAAUAAGCACCGGCUAACUACGUGCCAGCCGCCGCGGUAA
rnacentral:rRNA from 1 species